rnacentral:rRNA from 1 species
UACAGAGGUCCCAAGCGUUGUUCGGAUUCACUGGGCGUAAAGGGUGCGUAGGUGGCUUGGUAAGUUCGAUGUGAAAUCUCCGGGCCUAACCCGGAAAUGGCAUUGAAUACUAUUGAGCUGGAGGUUUGGAGGGGGGACUGGAAUUCUCGGUGUAGCAGUGAAAUGCGUAGAUAUCGAGAGGAACACCAGUGGCGAAGGCGAGUCCCUGGACAACACCUGACACUGAGGCACGAAAGCUAGGGGAGCAAACAGG